AGAGUUUGAUCCUGGCUCAGGAUGAACGUUGGCGGUGUGCCUAAUACAUGCAAGUCGAACGGAGUUAAUAGCAAUAUUGACUUAGUGGCGAACGGGUGAGUAACGCGUUGGUGACCUGCCCCGAAGAGAGGGAUAGCAGUUCGAAAGGACUGAUAAUACCCCAUGUGGUUAUUGGUUUUAGAAUCUGAUAACUAAACGGAUUUAUUCGCUUCGGGAGGGGCCUGCGUCCCAUCAGCUAGUUGGUAAGGUAACGGCUUACCAAGGCGAUGACGGGUAGGGGACCUGAGAGGGUGGCCCCCCACAAUGGAACUGAAACACGGUCCAUACACCUACGGGUGGCAGCAGUAGGGAAUAUUAGAAAUGGACGAAAGUCUGAUCUAGCAACACCGCGUGUGCGAAGAAGGCCUUCGGGUCGUAAAGUGCUUUUAGAGAGGAUGAGGAAGGACAGUACUUUCUGAAUAAGCCUCGGCUAACUACGUGCCAGCAGCCGCGGUAA
rnacentral:rRNA from 1 species